AGUUUGAUCCUGGCUCAGGACGAACGCUGGCGGCGUGCCUAAUACAUGCAAGUCGAGCGGACAGAAGGGAGCUUGCUCCCGGAUGUUAGCGGCGGACGGGUGAGUAACACGUGGGUAACCUGCCUGUAAGACUGGGAUAACUCCGGGAAACCGGAGCUAAUACCGGAUAGUUCCUUGAACCGCAUGGUUCAAGGAUGAAAGACGGUUUCGGCUGUCACUUACAGAUGGACCCGCGGCGCAUUAGCUAGUUGGUGGGGUAAUGGCUCACCAAGGCGACGAUGCGUAGCCGACCUGAGAGGGUGAUCGGCCACACUGGGACUGAGACACGGCCCAGACUCCUACGGGAGGCAGCAGUAGGGAAUCUUCCGCAAUGGACGAAAGUCUGACGGAGCAACGCCGCGUGAGUGAUGAAGGUUUUCGGAUCGUAAAGCUCUGUUGUUAGGGAAGAACAAGUGCGAGAGUAACUGCUCGCACCUUGACGGUACCUAACCAGAAAGCCACGGCUAACUACGUGCCAGCAGCCGCGGUAAUACGUAGGUGGCAAGCGUUGUCCGGAAUUAUUGGGCGUAAAGGGCUCGCAGGCGGUUUCUUAAGUCUGAUGUGAAAGCCCCCGGCUCAACCGGGGAGGGUCAUUGGAAACUGGGAAACUUGAGUGCAGAAGAGGAGAGUGGAAUUCCACGUGUAGCGGUGAAAUGCGUAGAGAUGUGGAGGAACACCAGUGGCGAAGGCGACUCUCUGGUCUGUAACUGACGCUGAGGAGCGAAAGCGUGGGGAGCGAACAGGAUUAGAUACCCUGGUAGUCC
rnacentral:rRNA from 1 species